rnacentral:rRNA from 1 species
GUGGGGAAUCUUGCGCAAUGGGCGAAAGCCUGACGCAGCGACGCCGCGUGAGUGAUGAAGGCCUUCGGGUUGUAAAGCUCUGUGGAGGGGGACGAAUAAGGGUUGGCUAACAUCCAACUCGAUGACGGUACCUCUUUAGCAAGCACCGGCUAACUCUGUGCCAGCAGCCGCGGUAAGACAGAGGGUGCAAACGUUGUUCGGAAUUACUGGGCGUAAAGCGCGUGUAGGCUGCUCGGAAAGUCGGGUGUGAAAGCCCUGGGCUCAACCUAGGAAGUGCACUCGAAACUUCCGAGCUGGAGUACUGGAGAGGAAGGCGGAAUUCUCGGUGUAGAGGUGAAAUUCGUAGAUAUCGAGAGGAACAUCGGUGGCGAAGGCGGCCUUCUGGACAGUGACUGACGCUGAGACGCGAAAGCGUGGGGAGCAAACAGGAUUAGAAACCCGAGUAGUCC